AAGGAUUUAAGUUAUAUUUAAACUAGUGACCUUCAAAGUCAAAAAUAGGAUUGUCUAAUCCUUG
rnacentral:tRNA from 1 species